CAUGUACAACGGCGAGCCAGGCUCGUUGAUUUGCGUCCGGAGAAGAAAAAUACGUCGAUGGAGAGAGCAUUCAAUGAGGAUAGAGGGAAUAGCCGGCAUCUCACCCGUCUACGGCACAAGCUCGUGCUCCAACGCGAGAAGACGACUACUCCUGGCGUUGUACAAGCCGAUGCGUACCGGCGCCGGUGGCGUGGAUCCGCUGCACGCGGAGGCUCUCGCGCGCGGGGGAUUUCGUUUGGCAGCAAACUUCCUGCCCGGUCAAGAACUCGGCGUCGCCAUUGAGAUCGGCAGUGCCCGCCCUUGCCCAGGAUCUCCGCGGCCUGAAGCUCCUCCGCCGAAAUCCCGCCACUCUUGUUCCCUCGAUCUCCUAUGCUGGAAUCCCGCCGCCCUCGAGCUCCUACGCCCGGGGUCCUGCCGUCCUGCUGCCCCGAGAUCCGGUGAGGUCUCAAGCUCCUCCGCCCGGGAUCUCGCCGCCGCCUGCAACCUCCAGAUUUGCCACCCUCGAGCUUCCCCCUAUGGUGCCGAUGAGCUGCUGCGGCAGCGCAGAAAGGGAAGGCCAAGGGGGGAGCUGCGGCGACACCGGAGCAGGUGACAUCCGGCCGCGCUGCCUAGGUGCCGGAGCAGAACGGAGCGAGUGGAUAUGGUGCAGCUACUCCUCCAAUUUCCUUCUCCGACCGAAGCUGCUUCUUCAACUGUGCUGGCGGUUUCUUCGACAGCAACUCGAUGUCUCAACAUGGAUGUUGAAUUCAGAUCCUGCAACAUGGUAUUCAUCCUCAAUUUUCCUCAAUGUUGCUCUCAAUUUUUGCCACUAUUGCUCAAUCUACUGGACUUCGGUAUAUCUUUAGUGUUAAUUUAGGGAGUAGCAACAUCCUGAAGUAAACGCUGUAUCUGUGGUAUUAGCCAAACUAGCACAUGCUAAUAGUCUGAACGUUUUGAGCGGUGAAGGAAAAAAAGAUUCAACAUAGCUUCGUAACUUGCAUGCCUCGCAGCUUGGCUGCUGGUCUAGCUUUUCCCAUGUCUCCAAUGUUGUCUGUGCUUCUAUGUAAUUUUUUUUUUCUAUGUAAUUUUAUAUACUGUUACAAACUAAAUUCACACCAAUUAUAUGCAGAUUGUAAGAUCACAUGGUAAUCCCUCAUUGUGCAGUGCACAGACCAUUUUUAAAGAAAAUUAAAAGGGGGAUAAGUUUAAUCGCUUCACCCAUCAUGUCCAUGUGUAUCAGAACUUGGUAGCAGGCUAGCAGCAAACAGCAUUUGGUGACUAACUACACCAAUGAAGCCUGAAGACUUAGAGCCUGAACAUCUUUGGGUACGCAUGAUGUGCUAGUAUAGGGUGAAUAUUUACAUAGUUCUUUAAUAGCAUUUGAGUACGCAUCAUGUGCUGGGCGCAGAUGAACUAGCACUGGCUAGUGAAGAUCAUCCCUGGGCGCUGAUGAGCUACCUUUGGAGCCUGAAAACAUGGAGGCAAUGAGCACCGCGCCUGAAGACAUGGAGGCCGCGCAUGAAAAUUUUGAAGCUGAUCUUGAAGAAAUCGAUCCAGAAGACUUUAUUGUAUCAUAUCAUGUAUUUCUGAGAACAUUUCAUAUGAAUUUAUAUAUAUGCUUGUCGGGUACCAUGAUUAGGGGCAUCCUAA